rnacentral:tRNA from 1 species
UAAUAAGAAGCAAUUUUGCAUUUAGUUUCGACCUAAAAGAUAGAUGUUACUCAUCCUUAUUUU